UGUGAUGGGUAGGGGAGCGUCGUGUGCCGGGUGAAGCAGCAGCGGAAGCUAGUUGUGGACGGUUCACGAGUGAGAAUGCAGGCAUGAGUAGCGAUACACACGUGAGAAACGUGUGCGCCGAUUGACUAAGGGUUCCUGGGUCAAGCUGAUCUGCCCAGGGUAAGUCGGGACCUAAGGCGAGGCCGACAGGCGUAGUCGAUGGACAACCGGUUGAUAUUCCGGUACCCGCUUUGAAACGCCCAAUAUCGAAUCAGGCGAUGCUAAGUCCGUGAAGCCGUUCCGGACCCUUCGGGGAAUGGAAAGUGGUGGAGCCGACGAACCAGACUUGUAGUAGGUAAGCGAUGGGGUGACGCAGGAAGGUAGUCCAGCCCGGGCGGUGGUUGUCCCGGGGUAAGGGUGUAGGCCGAGGGGUAGGCAAAUCCGUCCCUCAUAUAAGGCUGAGACCUGAUGCCGAGCCGAUUGUGGUGAAGUGGAUGAUCCUAUGCUGUCGAGAAAAGCCUCUAGCGAGUUUCAUGGCGGCCCGUACCCUAAACCGACUCAGGUGGUCAGGUAGAGAAUACCGAGGCGUUCGGGUGAACUAUGGUUAAGGAACUCGGCAAAAUGCCCCCGUAACUUCGGGAGAAGGGGGGCCAUCACUGGUGAUCGGAUUUACUCCGUGAGCUGGGGGUGGCCGCAGAGACCAGCGAGAAGCGACUGUUUACUAAAAACACAGGUCCGUGCGAAGCCGUAAGGCGAUGUAUACGGACUGACGCCUGCCCGGUGCUGGAACGUUAAGGGGACCGGUUAGUGCACUUUCGGGUGUGCGAAGCUGAGAACUUAAGCGCCAGUAAACGGCGGUGGUAACUAUAACCAUCCUAAGGUAGCGAAAUUCCUUGUCGGGUAAGUUCCGACCUGCACGAAUGGCGUAACGACUUCUCGACUGUCUCAACCAUAGGCCCGGUGAAAUUGCACUACGAGUAAAGAUGCUCGUUUCGCGCAGCAGGACGGAAAGACCCCGGGACCUUUACUACAGUUUGAUAUUGGUGUUCGGUUCGGCUUGUGUAGGAUAGGUGGGAGACUUUGAAGCCGUGACGCCAGUCAUGGUGGAGUCGCCGUUGAAAUACCACUCUGGUCGUGCUGGAUGUCUAACCUCGGUCCGUGAUCCGGAUCAGGGACAGUGUCUGAUGGGUAGUUUAACUGGGGCGGUUGCCUCCCAAAGGGUAACGGAGGCGCCCAAAGGUUCCCUCAGCCUGGUUGGCAAUCAGGUGUUGAGUGUAAGUGCACAAGGGAGCUUGACUGUGAGACCGACGGGUCGAGCAGGGACGAAAGUCGGGACUAGUGAUCCGGCGGUGGCUUGUGGAAGCGCCGUCGCUCAACGGAUAAAAGGUACCCCGGGGAUAACAGGCUGAUCUUCCCCAAGAGUCCAUAUCGACGGGAUGGUUUGGCACCUCGAUGUCGGCUCGUCGCAUCCUGGGGCUGGAGUCGGUCCCAAGGGUUGGGCUGUUCGCCCAUUAAAGCGGUACGCGAGCUGGGUUUAGAACGUCGUGAGACAGUUCGGUCCCUAUCCGCUGUGCGCGUAGGAAUAUUGAGAAGGGCUGUCCCUAGUACGAGAGGACCGGGACGGACGAACCUCUGGUGUGCCAGUUGUCCUGCCAAGGGCAUGGCUGGUUGGCUACGUUCGGGAGGGAUAACCGCUGAAAGCAUCUAAGCGGGAAGCCUGCUUCAAGAUGAGUAUUCCCACCUCCUUGAGAGGGUAAGGCUCCCAGUAGACGACUGGGUUGAUAGGCCAGAUGUGGAAGCCCGGUAACGGGUGGAGCUGACUGGUACUAAUAGGCCGAGGGCUUGUCCUCAGUUG
rnacentral:rRNA from 1 species